GGAGAAAUCAUCUAAUAAAGAUACUCUGCUGUAAACAGAAAAAUAAGAUAAAUCUUUUUAUCCA
rnacentral:tRNA from 1 species